GGAGUCGGGGGAGGAGAGUGGAGAAGGGAGCAGAGAGUUGUCGUGGGAGAAGGAGAAGCUGGAGACCUGGCAAAUAAAAGGUGCAAGGGAUGAGGGAUUUGGGAGCUAGGAAUAGGACAGUGUAGGGUGGAUCUGCCCAAUCUAGAUGCUAGAUUGUUUUCAUAUUGAGUUGCGUUUUCUUUGUACUGGCCGAUUCCGGUUGGAGAGGAAACUGCAACAAACUGUAACAGUGUAGAACACAGGAGCCGUGAGAGUACGUCAUGGCGGAGGCUUUGAAACACAGGAAUGGAGAAACUGCAUUUGAGUGGUGACUCUCUGCCCGAGAUUGUGACGUCAGCAACCAAGACAGGGGGUGGAAACGUGGAAACUACACACUUCCAGUAACCAUGGAAACAGCAAUUGUCCUGUAGCAGAAUCUUCUAUAAAUACAAGAAUAACUAUUCUUUGAGUCAGUCCAUAAAGACUUCUUUAUACCCUCUUGGCAUCGGCAUGAAGAAAAGAAGAUGCACUGUGCUCGUGCAACACUGCUGUUAGUAAGGUCUUAUCACCACUCAUCGCUGACAGCUUAAAGUCUUCUCUUAAUCAAUCCUUCCUACGUUCACAAAUAAAUUCCGUGUGUGUACACCA